rnacentral:sRNA from 1 species
GUUUCAAACCUGUAUAAGGCAUGGUAACAUUUUUCAGCAAGAAAAUCAUCUAAACGAGUCAUUAAAACCAAAUUAAUUACGUAAAGACGAUGAAAAAAGAUACCUAGCUUGAGGAUCUGGAAUCCAUCGCCAACUCUGAGGAGAAUUCCCCCACGCGAUUGCAAGGUUCAUCGCUGAUAUCAUGAUACAUCUCUUCGCGUUCGCUUUUUCUAUCCAUAAGCUCUUCGAUUUUCAAAAAGAAAA